rnacentral:misc_RNA from 1 species
AGAAGCAUUUGGGGAGCCUGUGU